rnacentral:rRNA from 1 species
UAGGGAAUCUUCCACAAUGGACGAAAGUCUGAUGGAGCAACGCCGCGUGAGUGAAGAAGGGUUUCGGCUCGUAAAACUCUGUUGUUAAAGAAGAACAUAUCUGAGAGUAACUGUUCAGGUAUUGACGGUGUUUAACCAGAAAGCCACGGCUAACUACGUGCCAC